rnacentral:rRNA from 1 species
UACGGAGGAUGCAAGCGUUAUCCGGAAUGAUUGGGCGUAAAGCGUCUGCAGGUGGCUAUGUAAGUCUGCUGUUAAAGAGUGAGGCUCAACCUCAUAAGAGCAGUGGAAACUACAUGGCUAGAGUGCGUUCGGGGCAGAGGGAAUUCCUGGUGUAGCGGUGAAAUGCGUAGAUAUCAGGAAGAACACCGGUGGCGAAAGCGCUCUGCUAGGCCGCAACUGACACUGAGGGACGAAAGCUAGGGGAGCGAAUGGG